GACGAACGCUGGCGGCGUGCCUAAUACAUGCAAGUCGAGCGCAGGAGAUCGACGGAACCCUUCGGGGGGAAGUCGACGGAAUGAGCGGCGGACGGGUGAGUAACACGUAAAGAACCUGUCCUCAGGUCUGGGAUAACCACGAGAAAUCGGGGCUAAUACCGGAUGGGUCAUCGGACCGCAUGGUCCGAGGGUGAAAGGCGCUUCGGCGUCGCCUGGGGAUGGCUUUGCGGUGCAUUAGCUAGUUGGUGGGGUAAUGGCCCACCAAGGCGACGAUGCAUAGCCGACCUGAGAGGGUGAUCGGCCACACUGGGACUGAGACACGGCCCAGACUCCGACGGGAGGCGGCAGUAGGGAAUCUUCCACAAUGGACGGAAGUCUGAUGGAGCAACGCCGCGUGAACGAUGAAGGCCUUCGGGUCGUAAAGUUCUGUUGUAAGGGAAGAACAAGUGCCGCAGGCAAUGGCGGCACCUUGACGGUACCUUGCGAGAAAGCCACGGCUAACUACGUGCCAGCCGCCGCAGUAA
rnacentral:rRNA from 1 species